UUUGGGUCACAUAACUGUCAAACGUGUGCAAAAUUAGUUGAGCAUGGCGUCAAGGAAAAUUUAUUCCGCAUAAAAUCUGAAAAGGUUUUGCAAUUAAAGUGAAAUAUAAUAUCAAAAAUUGUAAAAAGUGAAAAUGAUGGAUAGUCCGCCUCCCCCACGUGAUUCCAGUCUACGGAACAUAAUCGACAAAUUGGCUGAAUUUGUUGCAAGAAAUGGACCUGAAUUUGAAAUGAUCACCAAACAGAAACAACAUGGUAAUCCAAAAUUUGAUUUCCUCUAUGGGGGCGAAUUCGCUGGUUACUAUCAGUACCGAGUGGCCGCCGAGCAAGCAUAUCUCAAGCAACAAGGCACCAUCCCGCAGUCAUCCACCCAUCAUCCACAAUCGGUGCACCAUAUGCAACAUCCUACAUCAUCACCUGCAAUGACACAUCAUUACACACAGGGCCCACCAUCUCAGAUGCAUAUGCAACAAACACAAGGAAUGCCACAAAACUCGAUUGACGGAAGUAAUUUCAAUAUCAACAUGCAGCAACCACCACCAUCUUCGGGCAAUAGCGCGAAUGUAGCAUUAAAUCUUACUGGGCAAAUAGAAGCGAUUAAUAUGCAGCAAAAUACUUUACGCGAUCAAAUACGUCAGUCCGAGUCAAAUCUCUCCGCACAGCAUUCGGUAAUUUUUUACACCCUUCGAUACAUUUGGUUUAUAAAUUGCUUGUUUGGAAUAGUAAAAGAUGAAGUAGUAGAUAUAUGGAGCGGUUGUAGCACUUUUUACAAAUUUCGUAUUGCAUAAACUUCACAUUUAGAGCGCAUGGAGAUAUUAGGUAUUCAAAAAUUUAGUUUUUCACGUGCCCAGUGACUUGAGAGUAAAAAAAAAAAUAAAUAAUGUGCCUAUUUUCAAAGUAUAAAAUUGAUGCAUCUGAAAUCUAGCCAGUUGAACUUAAUUGCUGGUAUAAAAUCAACAAGGAACAUGUUAAACGACUAUGCAAACAAUGAACGACGGCUAUGAACUAGGAUUAUCAUCGCACCAGUGAAACUUUAAGUCCAAUUAAAUAUUUUUUGUGAUUAUUAUGCUGUAAUAACUAAAUUUUUAAAGUUGUUAGUUGUUUUCAAGAAAAGUUGUUUAUACUUUUUAAGGGUCUUUGGUUUUCCAUAUGUAUGCGUACUACAUGUGUUUCGAAUUUCUGCUUCCCAUAGAAGCCGUAUUUAGUUGAGCUUGGUAGUAGAAGUCCUAGUUGUAUGUUGCUUUUUUUUCUCAGGAAUUAUUGUUGCUGUUUUGGGUUUUUCUGCGUGUUAACAACUACCUUCUUUCGGGAAUAGUUCACCUUUUAUGAAAAUUUUUACUUAUCUCAUCUUAUUACAUCCCCGUUCUAAAAGUCGCUCCUCGUGAGGA